rnacentral:rRNA from 1 species
CACGUAGGGACCAAGCGUUGUCCGGAUUCAUUGGGCGUAAAGAGCUCGUAGGCGGUUCGGUAAGUCGGGUGUGAAACCUCCAGGCUCAACCUGGAGACGCCACCCGAUACUGCUGUGACUAGAGUCCAGUAGGGGAGCGUGGAAUUCCUGGUGUAGCGGUGAAAUGCGCAGAUAUCAGGAGGAACACCGAUGGCGAAGGCAGCUCGCUGGGACGGUACUGACGCUGAGGCGCGAAAGCGUGGGGAGCGAACAGG